rnacentral:rRNA from 1 species
UACGAAGGGGGCUAGCGUUGCUCGGAAUGACUGGGCGUAAAGGGCGCGUAGGCGGAUUGUUAAGUCAGGGGUGAAAUCCUGGAGCUCAACUCCAGAACUGCCUUUGAUACUGGCGAUCUUGAGUCCGGGAGAGGUGAGUGGAACUGCGAGUGUAGAGGUGAAAUUCGUAGAUAUUCGCAAGAACACCAGUGGCGAAGGCGGCUCACUGGCCCGAUACUGACGCUGAGGCACGAAAGCGUGGGGAGCAAACAGG